GCUGGCGGUAGGCUUAACACAUGCAAGUCGUGCGAGAAAGUAUCUUCGGAUAUGAGUAGAGCGGCGGACGGGUGAGUAACGCGUAGGAAUCUACCUAGUAGAAGGGGACAGCCCGGGGAAACUCGGAUUAAUACCGUAUACCUCCUUCGGGAGAAAGAAGGCCUCUCUUUGAAGCUUUCGCUAUUAGAUGAGCCUGCGUAAGAUUAGCUUGUUGGUGAGGUAAAGGCUCACCAAGGCUACGAUCUUUAGCUGGUCUGCGAGGACGAUCAGCCACAUUGGGACUGAGACACCGCCCAGACUCCUACGGGAGGCA
rnacentral:rRNA from 1 species